rnacentral:rRNA from 1 species
CGGGGAACUGAAACAUCUAAGUACCCGGAGGAAGAGAAAGCAAAUGCGAUUUCCUGAGUAGCGGCGAGCGAAACGGAAACAGCCCAAACCAAGAGGCUUGCCUCUUGGGGUUGUAGGACACUCAAUAACGGAGUGAUCAAGAAACGGAGUAGGUGAACUGUCUGGAAAGGCAGGCCGAAGAAGGUAACAGCCCUGUAGCUGAAACUUCGUUUCCUCCAGAGUGGAUCCUGAGUACGGCGGGACACGUGAAACC